rnacentral:antisense_RNA from 1 species
CUAAUUGGCAUUUUAUGGUCAGAAUAAUUAGCCCAGGGUGGUCCGGGCUCACACACUGACAGUCAGGUCCACCAAACUAUGUUAAUCAAGGAAAUGCUGGGGAGGUGUCACAGCACAGUGUCACUUUACACACCAUGCAACCAGAUGAUACCGUAGAAUAACUUAAACAAUUUCAUUUAGACAUUUAUGAAACCACUAACACUUCGACACGUAUUUCUACAAAGCAGCUUUGAGUUAGGGAAGAAUGUUUCUCUUCAGUGUUCAAAGUACAAAAGCAUUUAAGCAAGAGUUGCAGCCAAGCCCUAUGAGAUGCAGAUCUGUGUGCAGUUAUCUCUGCCCCCCUGGAGGAUGGCACAGCACUAGGUGAUUGAUUAUGCAAGGG